GACGAACCGUCCUAACGUUGUUCGGAAUCACUGGGCUUAAAGGGCGCGUAGGCGGACUCUAAAGUCAGGGGUGAAAUCUUUCGGCCCAACCGGAAAAGUGCUUCUGAUACUGAGAGUCUCGAGGGAGGUAGGGGCGCGUGGAACUAUUGGUGGAGCGGUGAAAUGCGUAGAUAUCAAUAGGAACGCCGGUGGCGAAAGCGACGCGCUGGACCUUUUCUGACGCUGAGGCGCGAAAGCCAGGGGAGCAAACGGG
rnacentral:rRNA from 1 species